GAAAACAUGAAGGUUCCUCUCCUUUCGAAGUUUCCACGUGGCAUAAACAAAUGACAUUGCUAAUAAAAUAUCUUCAUUAUGCCUCAUCUAGGAUUAUGACAAUUGCCACCAUGAAUAGAUGGAACUCUUUUUUGACGCACAAUCGUGCUUUUACACCCAUUCCAUACAGGUGUAUUUUGUUAAUCCUGCUUUGUGAAGGAGAAAAUCCCUACAAAGAUGAGUUGCCAUGUCGACUCAGGGAGUGGUCAUAAGGAAGGUCAAUAAUUCUGUGGCGGGCCAACUCAUAUGUAUCAACUUGGAAGGAAUUUUUUAGUAAGUUCAAUUGCAUAUAGUUUACUACCCUUGUCUAUAAGAGAAUUCGACGCACAAUCGUGCUUUUACACCCAUUCCAUACAAGUGUAUUUUGUUAAUCCUGCUUUGUGAAGGAGAAAAUCCCUACAAAGAUGAGUUGCCAUGUCGACUCAGGGAGUGGUCAUAAGGAAGGUCAAUAAUUCUGUGGCGGGCCAACUCAUAUGUAUCAACUUGGAAGGAAUUUUUU
rnacentral:lncRNA from 1 species